UUUGCCCUACGGGACGCAGCAGUGAGGAAUAUUGGUCAAUGGCCGGAAGGCUGAACCAGCCACGCCGCGUGAAGGACGAAGGUGCCAAGCAUUGUAACCUUCUUUUGUCAAGGGACAAAAUCAGGCUCGAGAGCCUGACCGAGGGUACUUGAAGAAAAAGCAUCGGCUAACUCCGUGCCAGCAGCCGCGGUAAUACGGAGGAUGCGAGCGUUAUCCGGAUUUAUUGGGUUUAAAGGGUGCGUAGGCGGGCUGUUAAGUCAGCGGUAAAAGCCCGGGGCUCAACCCCGGCGAGCCGUUGAAACUGC
rnacentral:rRNA from 1 species